AAACUAAAUAAAAUAGAAUUAUUUUCUAAAGUUAUUGAAACAGUACCUAUUUCAAAAAGUUUCUCUUCGCCAUUCGCUAGUCUAAAUUAUGAACAACGUAUGAGCAACCAUGAAUGGUUGUCGUGAAGUAGAGGUGAAAUAAAAAGAUUGUUUCUUAUAAUGAUCUUCUAUCGUCGUCGUUGACUAUUAUAGGCGUGUAGUACAUUGCUCUUAUAAUAUUAACAUACACGGACACGGAAGACACCAGAUGUAACAUUUUUGAUACUUACAAGUACUGUAUUUGUUAUAGGAUAUCAGAACACGCAGCAAUAUCAUGGUGUACUCAGAGCGUCCAGAUAAAUACCAACACCACUUACAAGGAAUUCCAGCAACUACAGCUGUAACCGCACAUAAUAUGCUGUAAAAUGCGCACUAAUUUGGUCACUCAGGUAAUGAUUUCAAACGAUAAGGGAUGGCAAAAUUGAAUAAACAAUUAGGUAAGAGACUGUCUUUAUUUUAACAACAAUACAAAGUAUAUAUGGUCAGCUAUUAAUUUUAACUGUAGGGAUGUAAGUGUACUCAAACUAACAAUAAUAUUACUGUUUAGGUAGUAACGAGAAACAGCUUGGUAAUUCCAGGACCUAACCAUUUAAUAACAAUUAAUAUGCUUGUGAUAUUUGUUAUAAUUUUUCUUGGUCAUAAAUUAUAAGGACUUCAGCAUAAAACAAAAUCAUUGCUAUAGUUUAGUUUCUCCAGCAAACAAAAAAAAUUAAACUUGGCAGUAGUUUCAAAAGUGACAAUAUAAUAGCACUUGUAUUACAUACGAAAACACUGUUCUGUACUGUAUUAAAUGAACAAGUUAAAGUACCACUAAAAUGGUUUAUUGAUAUAGAUGUAUUUGAAAAUCAAAGUACUUCUAUUAAAAAAGCAAUUUUGUUUCAAUAACUUGUAUUAAUUGAAGAUUCAACUUUUAUACUAUAUAUUUAUGGAAAAAAGUAACAUUAUCUGACAUUAGGAUAUCUUCUAACAAUUUAUUUCACUCUUUACAGUAUCUGGAAAAUAUUAUCAGUAAAUUUGAUGAAAAAAAAAUUGGACUUAUGCAAUAUCCUCCAAUGUUAUCUAAUAUAAAUUUAGUAUCUGGAAACAAACAGUAUGCAGAUAGCUAUGGCCAAUGGCAUAAUAUCAACUGCUUAAACAUCUUACAAGAAAAUGAAAGUGAUAUGUGUGUAUGGUGCAAGCGGCUUCUGUUUUGUAUUAAAAAUAAGGCAACACGACUAUCAACUGGAGAAUUGACUAGAACUUUUUUUUCUCCCAGCAAGAAAAAACUCUAAAUAAUCAAAAAGUCAAAAAAAAUAUUAUUGAAGAAGUGUUGCAGGACAAAAAUAAAUAAAUAAAUUACAGCAAAACUUAAUUAACUGUAAGAACGAAAUGAAAAAAAUGAAUGACUCAAACCUUUUAGAAAUAUUGGUAAAUGCUGGAAUUUCUAAGUGUCAAUCAGAACUCAUUCAAGAAAUAUUUUCAGUAGCAAGUUGAAAAAUGCUAAAAAUAGGAAAUAUAAUGAUAAUUGGAUGCUUCUAAGUCUCUUAUUUUAAAUCAGGUCACCAAGUGGAUACAGGUUUUUGAGAGACCGAAAAAUAUUACCUUUGCCGUUUGUUAAUACUAUAAGAAAAUAUUUUUUAGCUGUUAAAGUUGUUUUUGGAUUUGAUCCUACUGUUAAAAAAAAUUUUGCAACGGAGCCUGAUAGUCAGGAAGUUGAAAUACUUUCUUUAGACAAUAUUUUUUUCAGAAAAAUCAUAAAUGUCAAUACCAGAACUUAAACAUACACUGGAUUGGAAGAUUUAAAAAAUGAAAUAAAUCAUAAAACUGCUAGUUCUGAAAAAGCUAACCGUGGUUUAGGGCUGAUGUAGCAAAGCCUAGUUGACAACUUUACUCAGCCUAUAGCAGUAUUUGCAGAUUCAGUCAAAGGUUAUAGGUUGAUCUUGUAAAAUUCGUUACUAAAUCUAUAUUAUUGUUAGAAAAUAUUGAUGGUAAAGUAGUUGUUUUAACAAACGAUGGAGCUACAACAAAUCGUACUAUGUGGAAGUUACUGGGAAUAAGUACUAAUGAGAAAGAUUUUAAGAACUAUUUUGAGAAACCAUUUGACUUAUCUCGAAAGAUAUUUGUAUUUUCUGACCUACCUCAUUUAAUGAAAACUAUAUGUAAUCGAUUAUUUGAGAAAAAAACAAUAAAGGAUACAUCCAUCAAAACCAUUCACUUAGUGGGAUCAUUAUUACAAAGUGUGAAGAAAAUUAUUUAACAAAAGUCUGUCCUAAACUAACUUAGCACCAUUUUGAAUUAAAUAACUUAUUAAAAAUGAAGGUUAAUAUGCUGUUCAGAUUUUAAAAGAAAGUUUACGAUGGAUAAAGGAACGGGAAUGUAAUUUGAAAAAUAUUCUAUUUAUGAUGCUGAUUUUCUAACUAAACAGACAGCGGGAGAACUAAAUAUUACAUUACAAUCAACUAUUGACUUAAUUAUGUUCUAACAGCAAAAAUAAAUCAAGAUUAUUUGAAGUUUUUUGGUAUUAUAAGCAAAUAUCUAGUUCAAAUGACCAUCCAACAACACCAACAUUUUUACAGUUGUAUAGAAUGCUUUCGAUUAACUCUCUGAUUAAACCUCCAAAAGCUGGAAACUGUACUAUUUAUUCAGAAAAUAUACCAGCUAUCUCUGUAAACUAUUUUAACGAAAUUAUUAAUGAUCCUUUAAAUUUAUCUAUUAGAGAAAAUAAAAUACUGCAGUUAAAAACUAAAUUUACUAAAUUAUUAAAAAUGAUAUUGGUAUUAACGAAAAACAGCUUGGUAAUUCCAAGACAAUCGCAAAGCAAAAAUCAACGACAUAACCAAUCUGGCAGCACACAUCUCCAAGUACACAAGCCAUAGAACAAGGAAACUCAACCCAGUAGAAGACAGCAUCGAGAUGAUAAACAGAAUAUAACUUUAUUCUUUUAAUACAUAAUUCAUAAGAUUAGCCCUUACCAUUUAAUAAUAUAACUAAAUAUAAAAUAUUUCUCUAUUAGAUUUUGGUAAAAAUAAAAAACCAUAUUAACUAAAAAAACUUAUUUCAUAUCAUAGUUAUGGAUAAAAAACAUUAACUCAAUUUGAAAUUGCCAAGAACUCAUUCAAUUUUCAUCCCGCACACUUGAAACUAUGACCAUCGUAUAAUAUCCAUUUGAGAUGAAAAAAAAUAAUAACAGUGAAAAUAGACAACAACUAUUUAUUUUCUUUAAUAACUCAUUC